GGUUAGUUAACCCCACUCCACUCCACCACUCCAACCAAACAAAAUACUAUUUUACCCACUAUCCUUUUUAUCCCACCUAUUUCAACCAAAUAUUAUUUUUUUUAAUACUGGACUAACUCUAAUUCUCAACCAAACACAAAAAGACCUUAACCCCACCUUAAUUCUGAAUUUAACCUUAUUUCUGGAAUAACUAGUUUUUUCUUUAACCCCGAACCAAACGGUAGAUAAGGUGCGGACCUUAUACCCCAUUCUGAAAUCCANCAUAAAAAUUUAAAUAAUUUAUAAUAAAAUUAAAAAAAUAUAUAAUAAAUAAAUAAAUAAUAAUUUGUAAAUAAAAUAAAUUUAAAAUAUAUAUAUAGUUUAUUUUGAAAUAUGCUAGUAAUAUUAUUUUAAUACAA
rnacentral:lncRNA from 1 species